rnacentral:rRNA from 1 species
CCUACGGGAGGCAGCAGUGGGGAAUUUUGGACAAUGGGCGAAAGCCUGAUCCAGCAAUGCCGCGUGAGUGAAGAAGGCCUUCGGGUUGUAAAGCUCUUUUGUCAGGGAAGAAACGGUGAGAGCUAAUAUCUCUUGCUAAUGACGGUACCUGAAGAAUAAGCACCGGCUAACUACGUGCCAGCAGCCGCGGUAAUACGUAGGGUGCAAGCGUUAAUCGGAAUUACUGGGCGUAAAGCGUGCGCAGGCGGUUUUGUAAGUCUGAUGUGAAAUCCCCGGGCUCAACCUGGGAAUUGCAUUGGAGACUGCAAGGCUAGAAUCUGGCAGAGGGGGGUAGAAUUCCACGUGUAGCAGUGAAAUGCGUAGAUAUGUGGAGGAACACCGAUGGCGAAGGCAGCCCCCUGGGUCAAGAUUGACGCUCAUGCACGAAAGCGUGGGGAGCAAACAGGAUUAGAUACCCUGGUAGUCCACGCCCUAAACGAUGUCUACUAGUUGUCGGGUCUUAAUUGACUUGGUAACGCAGCUAACGCGUGAAGUAGACCGUCUGGGGAGUACGGUCGCAAGAUUAAAACUCAAAGGAUUGACGG